CCUCUCUCUGAUCCCUUUCCAAAGCCAAACAAAUGCCAAUUCAGCACUGAGAGCCAUCAGGAAGUGAUUGAGAGGCUGGCAAAAGCCCAGAUUUCAUAUGUUGAACUGAAAAGUGUGAGGAUGGGUACUUGACUGCCUGCUCCUGCCCCCUGGCCCUGGCCUCAUCUAGCCUUUGUUUCCCUUCCUGCCCUAUGACUGUUGUCAUGCUGUGUCAGGAGUGAUAACCAAGUCACAC
rnacentral:lncRNA from 1 species